GUGAGGAAUUUUCCGCAAUGGGCGAAAGCCUGACGGAGCAAUGCCGCGUGAAGGAUGAAGGCCUAUGGGUUGUAAACUUCUUUUCUCAGAAAAGAAUUAUGACGGUAUCUGAGGAAUAAGCAUCGGCUAACUCUGUGCCAGCAGCCGCGGUAAGACAGAGGAUGCAAGCGUUAUCCGGAAUGAUUGGGCGUAAAGCGUCUGUAGGUUGUUUAAAAAGUAUUCUGUCAAAGAUUAGGGCUUAACCCUAGAUAGGCAGAAUAAACUUUUAAGCUAGAGGUUGGUAGAGGCAGAGGGAAUUCCCGGUGGAGCGGUGAAAUGCGUAGAUAUCGGGAGGAACCCCAAAGGCGAAGGCACUCUGCUGGGCCAAUACUAACACUGAGAGACGAAGGCGAGGGGAGCAAAUGGGAUUAGAAACCCGAGUAGUCC
rnacentral:rRNA from 1 species